rnacentral:misc_RNA from 1 species
AAAAUGCGAUACGUGGUGUGAAUUGCAGGAUAUCAUGAACCAUCGAGUUUUUGAACGCAAGUUGCGCCUGAAGCCUUUAGGCCGAGGGCACGUCUGCCUGGGCGUCACGCACCGUUGCCCUCCAAACCUCCGCAAUCCUUUAGUGGGAUUGUUGAGAUGUGCGGGCAUUCGGUGGUCAUCGAUAGAUUUCGUUACCCCGCCGUGCGCUCCCGUGUUGCGAAGGAUGUCACCAGCAAACCCGAUGUCUCGCUCUGUGAAGAGCGUAGCUUACAACGCGACCCCAGGUCAGGCGGGGCUACCCGCUGAAUUUAA